UUUGAUGGCCAUACCACCCUGAAUAUACCUGAUCUCGUCUGAUCUCAGAAGCUAAGCAGGGUUAGACCUAGUUAGUACUUGGGUGGGAAAAGUAGUUUCUUACACUAGGUGUCAUGAUGU
rnacentral:rRNA from 1 species